rfam:Filimonas lacunae strain DSM 21054 genome assembly, contig: Ga0111651_118
AAUGGGAAACGCCGAAAACCAGUUAAAAGAGUAGGCA